rnacentral:rRNA from 1 species
CAGCAGUGGGGAAUAUUCCGCAAUGGGCGAAAGCCUGACGGAGAUGACAGAGUGAAUGAAGAAGUGCUUUGGUACGUAAAGAUCUUUUAUCAGGGGACGAAGUUUAUUGACGGUACCUGAUGAAUAACGGGCAAUCCUCCUAACUCCUGUG